AGUGGCGGACGGGUGAGUAACACAUGGGUGACCUACCCCACAGUGAGGAAUACCGGCGAGAAAUCGCCGACAAGACCGCAUAGGGUCUGGUGAAGCAAAGUUUCGCUGAGGGAUGGGCCUGUGGCCGAUUAGCUAGUUGGGAGGGUAAGAGCCUACCAAGGCGACGAUCGGUAGCUGGUCUGAGAGGACGAACAGCCACACUGGGAUUGAGAACGGCCCAGACUCCUACGGGGGGCAGCAGUGAGGAAUUUUCGGCAAUGGGCGCAAGCCUGACCGAGCAACGCCGCGUGCAGGAGGACGCUUUUCGGAGUGUAAACUGCUUUUCUGUGGGACGAGGGACGGUACCACAGGAAGAAGCCCCGGCUAACUACGUGCCAGCAGCCGCGGUAAUACGUAGGGGGCGAGCGUUGUCCGGAGUUACUGGGCGUAAAGGGCAUGCAGGCGGUCGGACGCGUUUCCAGUGACAGCGGGUGGCUUACCUACCCGAGUAUUGGAAAGAC
rnacentral:rRNA from 1 species